CAACCACAUUAAAAUAUGUUUUACCUCAGUUUGGUUUGUCUUAUUCUUUUCAUUUUUUUUGUGGAAUAACACUCCAUAUAGAAUAAAGAGGGUCCUUGUGUGUACCUUUUGUAUUGUAUACAUUUGUUAAUAACUUUUGUAAGAUAACUCAAUAAGUUAUAUAACAUUAUUAACAUUAAUCACAUAAUGUGAGAUAAAAUAGAAACAAACAUAUGAGGUACAAUUGAACCUAAUGAUGGAUUUUGAUGCAUUUCAGGCUCAACCUUCAAGAAAUAGAAUUGGUGUUAUUUCAAAUGACAUCACGACUGCCUUAGAUUAAAACUUGAAGGAGGUGACAUUCCCCAGAAAAGUUGUUCACCAUACCAUCCCAUGUUGGGUUGCCCACCAGUCCAGAUCAACAGUUUGUUGAG